rnacentral:rRNA from 1 species
GAUGAACGCUAGCGGCAGGCCUAAUACAUGCAAGUCGAACGGUGUCUUCGGACAUAGUGGCGCACGGGUGCGUAACACGUAUGCAACCUACCUUACAUUGGGUGAUAGCCUUUCGAAAGGGAGAUUAAUACCGCAUAAGACAGUUGCUGGGCAUCCAGCAGCUGUUAAAGAUUUACCGAUGUAAGCUGGGCAUGCGUCCAAUUAGCUAGUUGGUGAGGUAACGGCUAACCAAGGCAAUGAUUGGUAGGGGAACUGAGAGGACAAUCCCCCACACUGGCACUGAGAUACGGGCCAGACUCCUACGGGAGGCAGCAGUAGGGAAUAUUGGGCAAUGGACGCAAGUCUGACCCAGCCAUGCCGCGUGCAGGAUGAAGGCGUUAUGCGUUGUAAACUGCUUUUAUACAGGAAGAAACGACUCUUGCGGGAGGCAUUGACGGUACUGUAUGAAUAAGCACCGGCCAACUCCGUGCCAGCAGCCGCCGUAAGAC